rnacentral:piRNA from 1 species
UGGUUUUUGGUGCAUCAUGUUCUGGAGGU